GUGUGGUGCGGUGUGGUGUGGUGAGGUGUGGUGAGGUGUGGUAAGGUGUGGUGAGGUGUGGUGUACUGAGGCAUCCCUGGAAAAGCCACCCAAUCAGUCAGACUGCUUUUGCUAUUCUGGAGGGAAGACAAGCUCGGCUCACUUCCACUCAUCCAUCACACGCUGCCUCUGGUCGUCCCCCAACCUGUUUUCACACCAUUUCUCUCCUGCUGCUGCUAACAUGAUGAGAUAUUAUGUUUUCCACUGGCUUGAUUACCCUGUUUUCACUCCCUGGCUCUCUCGCUCACUGUCUCUCGUUCUCUCUCUCCUUCUCU
ensembl:lncRNA